UAAAGUUCUGGAAACACAUCAGAUCACUUCUUCUGUUUCUGUUCAGGUUGGGAACACCUGAGUUGGCUAAGUGUGAUUCCCACUACCAUCACAUACUGAGAAGUAAACUCUAUGGCCAUCGCUGGAAAAACUCAGCAGGAAAUUGGCUAAAUCCUUACAUGUCCUCAAAUCAGUCCAUGCUUUUACUGUGGAUCGCAGAGCUUGGAUCUGGUCUUCACCAACAACUAACCUAGCUCCGAAGACACACAAGUAUCCCAUUCUCGAAAUGGGGUCAGGUACCACAGGAAUAUUUUAUUUUACUUUCUCCAAUUCAGAAGAGUCGCCUACCUCCUUCUGCUCUGGAUCCAAGUGUUCUCAGGACUUUCAGGACUUGGUGAAUUGAAGACACGGUUGGCUAUUGUGUUCCAUUUUGGACACAUUUCUCCAGCUUAUUUGUUCCAUGACAGCGUUGCUGAAACUCUCCCGAAGAGGCCUCCCUCCAAUGACGAUGGUAGCCCAAGAGGCUGCCAUCCGGUGACAUCAGACCUAUUGGCAGUAACCACAGUGGCACUUCUGACAAUAUGCCAAGAGUUCUAGGAGCCAGGCAUGAGGUGGGUAAUCCAAAUAACCAUUCCUGCCCAAGCUGCCCUCUGCUGAGACAACCCACCACUAAUUAAAGGCCAUCUGUUUAUACCAUAUAGCCUAUCCUGCCAGAAGCAGCCAGAUGUCAGCACAUUACUCUAGUUCGUGACCUCUCUUAGGAUAUUAACAUGGAUUAUUUAUGGGUGGGCUGAGUUGGUUACUGUAUAUGAGCCUCCUUCCUGGUGCAUGGCUUAAGAAAUUAUAUUAUAUAUAAACUUUAUGACGAUACCAUUAAUUUUGGGUCUUGCCAAGUUCCAGACCUAUAUGCUCUGUAGUGGGGUUCUGGGCCUGUUUCAACAAUAACAUUUUUUAAAAACACUCUAGUGUCUCAUUUCUCUGGGUUUUCCAUGGGUUCCCCAUAAGUAUAGAUAUGAAUACUCUCGAAGUUACUGGCAAUUAGUUCUCACGGACUACCUGUGAACUACCCUCUCUCCUUCGGUUCGAGAGGAGUGCCAAGUGAGUGCCUUUUUGGAAUCAGAAGAGAACUUGGUGUCAUCAUUCUUGAUCUUCUCUCUUCUUCCAAUCUGUGAGUUCAAAUGUGUUCUUUCCAAAGCAGUUGCUAGGCAGAUUUGUUUAACCCAUGAGGGGAGGAAAUGCAGAAUUAAGAAUCAG
rnacentral:lncRNA from 12 species